AAAACACCUCUCCGUUUUCAAGUACCUCUUGCUAUAUUUCUUCAUUUCAAAGGAUUUAUUGUAUUAUUUCCUUGGCUGUAAUGGUUGGGUCCCAGCGUAAUAGGCUUAUUUUGAUAUUUUCUCCACAGUUUAAGUUAUUUCAAUAACGACUGACUCUACCUUUGAAUGAUGCUCAGCAAACAGGAAAACAGUGGGUGUCCCAUUUUGCCUUUUGCUUCUCAGUACCUUCAAGGGAUCAUGUCAUCAUUGAGCGCAACUGCAGGAAGAAAACGAUGUUUGAUGAUGCCAGUAAAGCAAGCUAAGGAAGUAACAAAGAAGAAAACAAGAG
rnacentral:lncRNA from 12 species